AAAAAUUUAUUAAUUUGUCUUAAUUUAUUACACCAUUGACAAGUUCCUUAUUCCGACAAAAGUUUUAUAGUUAUUUUCUCGAACACUACAAAAAAAAAAAAAAAAAUAAAUAAAUAAAUAAAUAAUAAUAAUGAAAAAGAACAAAAUAGAAGAUAAAAAUAAUAUUAUCAAACCUCUUGGACACAAUGCACUAGUUGCUUUAUUAAAUAAUAACAGUAAAAUGGAAAAAGAAGUUGAAAAAGAAAUAAAUAAAAAUAUGAAUAGAAAAAAAAAUGAAAUAAAUUUAUUUGAAAUUAAUAACACUAUAGAUAAUAAUUACACUUUUAAUAAAAGAAAAAAAAACGAUAAUAUAUACGAUAUACCAUUUAAACUUUUUAACACUGUUAUACCUCCAGUUAAUACAUUAAAUGACAGACAAUUCGAAUUUUUUAAAUGUAAUAGUUUUAAUAUGAAUGAUAAUGUGCAAAAUGAAUGCAUAAAAAAUAAUUAUAUUUAUAAUAUGAAUAAUUAUAACAUAUUUUUAAAUAAAAAUAGUAAAUAUGAUUUUUUUGUACCUAUGACUUAUAAUCAAACAAAAGGUAUAAAUAGUAUUGUCAAUGAAAAAAACACUAUUACUUAUACUAAUAAAAUAAUUGGUACUAACACAACUUAUAGUAAGGAAAAAAUUUAUGGUAGCAACAAAAGAAUUAUUGCAACCACUACUACCAACUCAAACAAAAUCAAAAACGAAUGCAGGAUUAUAGAAGAUAAAGAAUCUUCUUUUUUGUUAAAAAAUAAAAAAAGAAAAAGGAAAAUAAUGUUAGAUGUAGGUGUACAUGCGGAUGUAGGUGUACAUGCAGAUGUAGGGGCACAUGCAGAUGUAGGGGCACAUGCAGAUGUAGGGGCACAUGCAGAUGUAGGGGCACAUGCAGAUGUAGGGGCACAUGCAGAUGUAGGGGCACAUGCAGAUGUAGGGGCAAAUGCAGGUGUAGAUGUUGUAAUAGACCAUUUAAAAAAAAAUAAAACUAAUGGUAAUAUGGAAGAAGAAAAAAUUAAAACAAAUAACACGGAACGAAUUGGUAAUGUUGAUGGUGCUAAUGACGUUUAUAAUAAUAAUUAUAAUAACAGUGUUCAUAUUAAAGAAAAAAUAUAUAAUAAAAUAAAUAAAACGAGGCACAAGAAUAACAUGUUAACUUAUAUAAAGUAUAGUAGUAAUAGUAAUAGUUACAGUAAUGGUAACAACAGUGAUAACAACAGUGAUAACAACAGUGAUAAUAGAAAUAAUAAUGAUAAUUGUAUAACAUACACUGAUGAUAAAGCUGGUAAAAAUUUUACUAAGUGUAAGCCACUCGAAUUGAGAAAACAGAUAAAUGCAAAUAAAAUAAAACAUGACAGCACGUGGAAAGGUUAUGAUAGCAAGAGGACGAAUGAUAAUGGCAUAUCAGAAAGUGUUAAAAACAAACUAUCCAAUAGUAAAAAAAAAAAAGGUAACAGUUGUGGUAAUAGUAAUAGUAGCUGUAGUAGUAAAGACAAAUAUUAUAAAGUAAAGAAGGAAUACAGUGAUAAAAAACUAGAAAACAGUAAAGCAGGUAAAGAAAGCAAAACAAGUAAUGAAGGUAUAAAGGAUAGUGAUACAUCACGUGGUAUUAACGUAAGUAAUGAAAAAAUAAACGAAAAAAACGGCGAAAACGGAGAAAACGACAAAAAAGGCGAAAACGACAAAAACGACAAAAACGACAAAAACGACAAAAACGACAAAAACGACAAAAACGACAAAAACGACAAAAACGANNNNNNNNNNGACAAAAACGACAAAAACGACAAAAACGACAAAAACGACAAAAACGAAAAAAACGAAAAAAACGACAAAAACGAAAAAAACGAAAAAAACGAAAAAAACGACAAAAACGAAAAAAACGACAAAAACGAAAAAACAUGUGGUGUGAUAAUUAAAAGAUCCAAUAGACUUAUGGAAAAACAAAAUGCAAAAAAUGAAAAUAAUAAAACAUUAGAUAAUGAUAAAAUAAAGAAAGAAACUAAUCAUCGUACUACUAAUACAGUAAAUGAAAAAAAUGGAGACAUAAACAUAAAUAAUGUGUUAGUAAGAACGGAAUUAAGCGAAGAAAAAGAUAAUGUAAUUGCGAAGAAUACAAUAAAUGUAGCAGUAAAAACAGAAGUACAAGAAAAGGCGCAAGAGAAAGCAUUGGAUAAUAUACAAGAGAAAGCAUUGGAUAAUAUACAAGAGAAAACGCAAGAAAAGGCGCAAGAAAAAGUACAAGAAAAAGUGCAAGAAAAAGUACAAGAAAAAGUACAAGAAAAAGUACAAGAAAAAGUGCAAGAAAAAACAAAAUCUCAACAGAAAGAACCAAAAAAAGAACAAAAGCAAACCAGUCAAUGCAAAAGAAGUCAUAGUACUUCUUCUAAAUCUGAUGAAAAUCGAUUAAAUGUCGAUGAUUAUAUUUUUGUUGAUUUCCAACCAACAACUUAUGAAUAUGGAGUCGUGAAAGAUUAUUUAAAAAAAUAUGUUAAUGAGUCCCAACAAAAUGACUCAGGAGUUAAAACAGCCAAAAAAAUAAUGACAUGUAAAAGAAACUUAUGUUCCGAUUUUAUUAUUUACGAAGAAAAUACAAAUACAAAUACAAAUACAAAUACAAAUACAAUAGACUCAAAACAUUCAAAUAAUGAAAACCUUGAAUAUAAUGAAGCAGACAUUCAACAAAAAUACCUUAAUGUGAAAAAAAAAAUAACAGAAAAUAACAUUAAUGUAUUCAGUUAUGAUUUCGAUAACAAUAUAUGUUACUUAUUAGUCAAAAAGGACUAAUUUAUUUUUUUUUUAUUAAAUAUGUUACUAUUAUGUUUCUUUAAUUUUGUCCUAUUUAUUUUGUUAUAUUCAUUUUGUUUUCCUUUUUAUUUAUAUUUUUCAUUUACCUUUUGUGCUACACGUGUAAAUGCAAGCAUUUAUACAUAUCAAGUAAGUCAUUUAUUUUCUCACUCUCUAUACAUAUAUAUAUAUAUAUAUUCGCACAAGUUUUCAUAAAAAAAAAAAAAAAAAUAAAAUAAAAUAAUACUUAAAU
ensembl:lncRNA